CAGACUCAGCAUUGUGGCCUGCUAAAAAGCAUCUGUUUUAUCAGUUUCAUUUUAUUUUUUGUUUUCUUUUAAUUAGGCAGGUUUUUAAAAUCAGCAGACAAUUGACCCAUCCAUAGUUCAACUGGGAUGGAAAGAAAAAGAAAUAUCACUUGGAUUCACAUCUGGUUUAUUAUUUCAGUCAUUCUUGGUGGAAGUAAGCAGAACAAGUUAUCUCAAGAGGCAACAGCUAAUUCAUUAGACACGUUUCCUGUAACUUUAGAAUGUAACAUUGAAAGCCGUUCAAGCACAUACAGUCUUUAUUGGUACAUUCAGCACACCAGGCAAGCACCAAAAUUUAUUGCAAGGAAAGAUUAUGAUGGCUUUGAAAGGAAUGUCAAUGAAGAGAAGUAUUCAGUAGCUCUCAAUACGUCAUCCAAAAAUGCUACACUAACAAUAUAUAACACUGUUUUCUCUGAUACUGCCUUUUAUUACUGUGCUCUUUCUACCACUGUGUAAAGAGACCUUUUUGAAAGGGUACAUAAACCAGCCAAAACAUUUCUUUAGACUAUUUCAUUGAAUGCUGUGAUGGGUUACUAAUAAUAAUAGUAAUAACCUUUUCCAAGCUUUUCUAACUUUAAUAUUAAUGG